rnacentral:rRNA from 1 species
GAAUGAACGCUAGCGACAGGCUUAACACAUGCAAGUCGAGGGGCAGCGCGAGGGUAGCAAUACCUUUGGCGGCGACCGGCGCACUGGUGAGUAACACGUAUGCGACCUGCCCCGGACAGGGGGAUAAACCCGGGAAACUGGGCCUAAUACCCCAUAUGCCUCGAGGACGCAUGUCCCUGAGGUGAAAGAUCCGUCGGUCCGGGAUGGGCAUGCGGCGCAUUAGCUGGUUGGCGGGGUAACGGCCCACCAAGGCGACGAUGCGUAGGGGUUCUGAUAGGAAGGUCCCCCACACUGGUACUGAGACACGGACCAUACUCCUACGGGAGGCAGCAGUGAGGAAUAUUGGUCAAUGGGCGGUAGCCUGAACCAGCCAAGUCGCGUGCGGGAUGAAGGCCCUCCGGGUCGUAAACCGCUUUAGCCGGGGAGUAACGUGGGGGACGCGUCCCUCAGUGAGAGUACCCGGAGAAUAAGCAUCGGCUAACUCCGUGCCAGCAGCCGCGGUAAUACGGAGGAUGCGAGCGUUAUCCGGAUUUAUUGGGUUUAAAGGGUGCGCAGGCGGCGUGUCAAGUCAGCGGUCAAACUGCGGGGCUCAACCCCGUACCGCCGUUGAAACUGGCAUGCUCGAGUUCGUGCGAUGGUGGCGGAAUGCGCGGUGUAGCGGUGAAAUGCAUAGAUAUCGCGCAGAACUCCGAUUGCGAAGGCAGCUGCCAAGCACUGGACUGACGCUCAUGCACGAAAGCGUGGGUAUCGAACA